rnacentral:tRNA from 1 species
GGGUUAUUAGCUCAGCCGGGAGAGCACCUGACUUACAAGCAGAGGGUCGGCGCAUAGAUCCCGUCAUCACCCACCA